UACAGGCUUCCCCGGCAGAGUUUUCCUCGCAGCCUGAGCAGCUAGAGAGAAGUCAGACCAGCAGCUCCCCAGCUCGCUGCUCCUCUCCUCUCCGGCACUCACAUACCUGCACUACCUCUCUCUUUCCUCCUCCUGCUUCUUUGCCUUUUUGCGCCCCUCUGUCCCCUCCCCUUUGGCAGCUGGCUCCCUUUUCCGACAGAGACUGGGAUCAGAUUACACUGUGUUUCCUGGACCCACCUGCGACUUCCCAAGUGGAUGUAAAAGGCUUCCAAACACCUAACUCGCUGUAGGAAGCUCUAUCAGCUGCUGGGCUGUGACCGGGCGGGACCCGCUGCUGCCGCAUGCCCUGCUCCUAGGGCUGCCACAGAACUAGGAGACCCUUGGAGGUUCUGCUUGGAGGGAUCUGGCUUUGGGAGACUGGAGCUGAAAUCAGCAAGGAGAGGGCAUGUCACUUUAACAGCACAACAGACCGUGGUGUUGUGAUGACAGCAGCGCGGCUCAAGCCCGCGGGAGCCUUGAAGAGCCUUGGUUUUCGAAGGAAUCAUGAAAACUGACUUCUUCAAGAAUGAAAUCAGCAAGGAAACCAGUCCCAUUUGUAAGAUGGUAUGAAAAUAACUAAAAAUCUUGCAGAUUCUUUCAAGAUGAGUGGCCUUUUGGCCUAAAUACACAUUGGUCACUGCGUUCAUCACUGAAGGAAGAAUAAAAUGGAUAAAAAUUCCACCACAAUCACCAGACUGGAAGCUCAUUGAAGUGGUUUGGCACAAGAUGCACCACCUGCAUGCACAUAUUAAACUACUCCACAGGAUGAAUUGUUGGGUGGUAUCCACAAAUACCGAAUACGAUUUUAACUUGGGAAUUUGUAAACAAGUGCAUGGACCUUACUGACAAAGAACUGCCAGCAAAAAUCUAACCAAACUAUUCUAAAGAUAUUUCUCAAGAAUAAGAAAUAUUGCCAGUUGCUUCCUCAAUGUCUAGCUUGUGUCUCACUGGUCCCCCCUCUCCUUCCCGCCCUCCCCCUGAUCUAUUACACCACAGAUUUUGUUAUGCGGGACAGAACACAAAGCCCAGUGGGGGCUGGGGGAGCUUUAAACUAUCUUUGCACCCUUCUUAUCUGGGCUGCUGCAGAGUUUGGCCCCCAGAGCAUUUUGGGUAGCCCUACAGGCCUGCCUAAAUUAUGGCAACCUGUCCCCAGCUGCCUCUGGGUGGAAGAACCACCAAUAUUAGCUGCAACACUACAUGCUGUAGUCUUGCCCUUGCUUACCUCCAAAACACCCCUCCUGGCCAGGGCCGGCUCCAGGCACCAGCUUACCAAGCAGCUGCUUGGGGCAGCCAC